AUUGAACGCUGGCGGCAUGCCUUACACAUGCAAGUCGAACGGCAGCACGGGAGCAAUCCUGGUGGCGAGUGGCGAACGGGUGAGUAAUAUAUCGGAACGUGCCCAGUCGUGGGGGAUAACGCAGCGAAAGCUGUGCUAAUACCGCAUACGAUCUCUGGAUGAAAGCGGGGGACCUGUAAGGGCCUCGCGCGAUUGGAGCGGCCGAUAUCAGAUUAGCUAGUUGGUGGGGUAAAAGCUCACCAAGGCGACGAUCUGUAGCUGGUCUGAGAGGACGACCAGCCACACUGGAACUGAGACACGGUCCAGACUCCUACGGGAGGCAGCAGUGGGGAAUUUUGGACAAUGGGCGCAAGCCUGAUCCAGCAAUGCCGCGUGCAGGAUGAAGGCCUUCGGGUUGUAAACUGCUUUUGUACGGAACGAAACGGUCCUUUCUAAUAAAGAGGGCUAAUGACGGUACCGUAAGAAUAAGCACCGGCUAA
rnacentral:rRNA from 1 species